CUAUCCAGGUAGAAGUGGGCCUGAGAAUCCCAUAAUAUUAAUAUGCCUGGUUGUGGGAGAUAAUAAUCUUAUCUCCCACAGUAAACCGUCAAAUUGCGGGAAAGCCUUAAAGCUGUUUCAACUAAGUAAGAGUGGUAACACAUCUUAUGGCUCAUGUAACGAGUUGAGGUAUAGUAAAAACGAAACAGAUGCACGUAAGGAAAUAGGUAAUCCGCAGCCAACCACCUAAAACUUUAAUUUAUAUUAAAAGUAAGGUGGGCAGUUCAUCGACUAAAUGGCGGUUGGUUUUUAGCAUGAUAUACUAAAUAUCUGUUAAUUAACUUAAGAUAUAGUCAAACCCUAUCCGAAAGGAUACA
rnacentral:ncRNA from 1 species